CCUACGGGUGGCAGCAGUGAGGAAUAUUGGUCAAUGGGCGCGAGCCUGAACCAGCCAAGUAGCGUGAAGGAUGACUGCCCUACGGGUUGUAAACUUCUUUUAUAAAGGAAUAAAGUGAGGCACGUGUGCCUUUUGUAUGUACUUUAUGAAUAAGGAUCGGCUAACUCCGUGCCAGCAGCCGCGGUAAUACGGAGGAUCCGAGCGUUAUCCGGAUUUAUUGGGGUUAAAGGGAGCGUAGAUGGGUUGUUAAGUCAGUUGUGAAAGUUUGCGGCUCAACCGUAAAAUUGCAAUUGAUACUGGCAGUCUUGAGUACAGGUGAGGUAGGCGGAAUUCGUGGUGUAGCGGUGAAAUGCUUAGAUAUCACGAAGAACCCCGAUUGCGAAGGCAGCUUACUAAACUGUGACUGACAUUGAUGCUCGAAAGUGUGGGUAUCAAACAGGAUUAGAUACCCCAGUAGUC
rnacentral:rRNA from 1 species